rnacentral:tRNA from 1 species
AUGGUCGGGAUAGCUCAGUUGGUAAAGCAAAGG